rnacentral:rRNA from 1 species
GAUGAACGCUAGCUACAGGCUUAACACAUGCAAGUCGAGGGGUAACGAGAGGAAAGCUUGCUUUCCUUGUCGACGACCGGCGCACGGGUGAGUAACGCGUAUCCAACCUGCCCCCAACUAGGGAAUAACCUUGCGAAAGUAAGACUAAUACCCUAUAAUUUCCUCAGAUGACAUCUGACGAGGACUAAAGAUUUAUCGGUUGUGGAUGGGGAUGCGUCUGAUUAGCUGGUUGGCGGGGUAACGGCCCACCAAGGCAACGAUCAGGAGGGGUUCUGAGAGGAAGGUCCCCCACAUUGGAACUGAGACACGGUCCAAACUCCUACGGGAGGCAGCAGUGAGGAAUAUUGGUCAAUGGGCGGAAGCCUGAACCAGCCAAGUAGCGUGCAGGAUGACGGCCCUAUGGGUUGUAAACUGCUUUUAUACAGGAAUAAAGUUAGCCACGUGUGGUUAUUUGUAGGUACUGUAUGAAUAAGGACCGGCUAAUUCCGUGCCAGCCGCCGCAGUAA